rnacentral:rRNA from 1 species
GACGAACGCUGGCGGCGUGCUUAACACAUGCAAGUCGAACGAGUGGCGAACGGGUGAGUAACACGUGGGUGACCUGCCCUGCACUUCGGGAUAAGCCUGGGAAACUGGUUCUAAUACCGGAUAGUGUGGGAUGGGGCCGCGGCCUAUCAGCUUGUUGGUGGGGUAAUGGCUACCAAGGCGCGACGGGUAGCCGACCUGAGAGGAUGAUCAGCCACACUGGGACUGAGACACGGCCAAGACUCCUACGGGAGGCAGCAGUGGGGAAUAUUGCACAAUGGGCGCAAGCCUGAUGCAGCCAUGCCGCGUGUAUGAAGAAGGCCUUAGGGUUGUAAAGUACUUUCAGCGGGGAGGCGUUACCCGCAGAAGAAGCACCGGCUAACUCCGUGCCAGCCGCCGCGGUAAUUC